rnacentral:sRNA from 1 species
UUCCUUUGUCUUUGAAGACCCACAGACCAGCAGGCACCCCUGCAGGCAUCCCUCCCCAGGUCAAACCUCCCCUGCCUGGGCUCUGGCUGCCCUCCUGGGCCAGUUCUGUCUUGGCCAAGGUGCUCCCUGUCCACUCAAGGUCUGGGGAGGGCAGAGGACAGGUGGCCGCCCCUUGGCCUGGCCUCUAGGCCCAGGCUUCCACCACCCAGUCAGUGUUGCCACAGAUAGGGGACAAGCCCCGCCCAUCUCUCUGCAUCCAGGAGCUCCAGUGUGACGUGUCCGUGGAGGAGGACAGCCGGCAGGAGUGGACCUUCACCCUGUAUGACUUUGACAACAAUGGCAAGGUCACCCGAGAGGACAUCACCAGCUUGCUGCACACCAUCUAUGAGGUGGUGGACUCCUCUGUGAACCACUCCCCGACAUCCAGCAAGAUGCUGCGGGUAAAGCUCACCGUGGCCCCCGAUGGCAGCCAGAGCAAGAGGAGCGUCCUUGUCAAUCAGGCUGACCUGCAGAGCACAAGGCCCCGAGCAGAGACCAAGCCCACUGAGGACCUGCGGAGCUGGGAGAAGAAGCAGCGAGCCCCGCUCAGGUUCCAGGGUGACAGCCGCCUGGAGCAGUCUGGCUGCUACCACCAUUGUGUAGAUGAGAACAUCGAGAGGAGAAACCACUACUUAGAUCUCGCCGGGAUAGAAAACUACACGUCCCAGUUUGGGCCUGGCUCCCCUUCCGUGGCCCAGAAGUCAGAACU